AGAGAUGUCUGGGCCUUGACCAAUGAGAUCUUCAGGAGUACUUCAGCAGCUGUUUCGGAUUUUUCUCUGUGGAUGUCCUCAUGGGACUAAGUGGAAAUUGGAAAAGUAUCAUCAAACUCUUCUUGAGAUUCCUUUUUGAUAAGGAAGAUUGCAGAAAAAUUUGUGGCUGAAGAGGAUGCACUGAGAAGAAAGAUAACUGCCCUUAUUCUAAAUCCCAAUCUUCAAUCAAGUACUAAGAUGGUCUGCACUUUGCCUGUGGCGAUUUCCUUAGGUAGCUGGAGAGGAAACCUCGGUGGUGGUGGUGACCCACAGACUGCCCUGCUGGGAAAAUGCACUGACCAGUCAUCAGCAAAUUCUAGCCCAUUCAGCAGGUUGAAAAGCUACUGACCAGGAAGGUCAUUUCCAGCAUUUCCCAUAGCUUCAAGAUUACUAGUACAGACGCAGAAGCUGGGCAAUCUCGUUCCACAUUCCACCUGAAUGACAGGUAUGCUAGAUAAUCUUAACAGCAGAAAAGGCUAAUUUUAUAUUGUCAAUCAUAACAAAGUUAGAUCCCCACAACUCGUAUGAAAUUUACUUAAAUUGUCACUGCUAAGAAAUUGAAAACUUCUGGCUGAAGUAUAGGUUACAUCCUCUAUUUCUGAAUGUAGAAAAAUGACUAUUAGUUUUCCAUUCAGAUCCUAUUGCAGUCAAAUUUUCUUUAUUCUUAAUCAGAAUAGGAAGGCAUGGAAAGAGGGAUUUAUCUUUUAUUAUCUAUAUCCAGUCUACUGAGUAAGUGAUAAGAGUCUAAAAAUUUGGUCACUGUUUUAGGUUAGGUCUGUCGUUGUAUCACAGUAGCCUUCAAAUAGAUUAGUUACCAUCUUUUAAAAAAUGACUAUUUUGAGGGAUGCAUGAUUCUAAAAAGCUAUAGGAGAAGACAAAACAGUGUUUCUACUUUAAAGGAGCUGUUCACAUUUGUAGUUGGGAAUAUUCAACACACACCCCAAAAAGAAAAUGAAGAUUAGUUACAAAGCAACUUAUAAAGCAAUAUGUUAAUUUGCAAGGUACUAAUUUGUAAAUAGCACUACAGUUGGUGAAGUUACUGGACCUAGUUGAUGGCUAUGUGCCUGAUGUGAUAAGGAUGAAGGAGAUGUGGUCCAUCUAUUGGAGGGUGAGUGACAACUGCAGACUCAGGCUUAGCCCUACUCUGAAGUGUACCUUUAUGCUGGGAAGGAAUAAUAACAGGCACACAAGAUUCAAGUGCUAUUCCUGACCCUUAUCCACACUGUUGGUGCUCCAGCUCCUUGCCAAUUCCCAGGCUUCUGUCUAAACUCUAAGCCUGGAUUCUCAGUUCUUGUAGGUCAGACCCCGAGUUGGGUCCUUCACUCCUGGGUUCUGCUGCCCCAAAGCUUCCAGACUUCAGGCCUAUCUGACUUAUAGUACCUAUGAAUACCUCUUAUUGCCUAGGCAAAAUCUGGAUCCUAAUUCUUCCUGGAAGCCUUUAUCUUGUCAUCACUCAAUUUCCAGAAUAACAGCUGCCCUUAAGAGGUCCCACCAAUGGUGAGCCAAUUUCAGAGUAGUAAAAGAGAGCCUGUAAUCAACGGUGAGAGGUAUAGGGCAGGCCAUCAGACAAUCAGGAAUUAUGAAGCGGUAAAGACACAGAGAGAUCACUGGAGUCUCAGGGGCUUCACUAAGGAGGAGGAACGUGAGCCAGGCAGGUUUUAGAGAGAAGGGGAGAUGACAUUUGAAACUAAGGAGAGACACAGGCAAAGGUGAUGGGAAAUGACAGGGUAAGAGUGGUGUGGGGACCAGCAAGGGAGACAAGUUUGGCUGGGUAGGGGUUGCUGUUGGUCAUAGUAGGAUAGCAAUGGAAAAUUAAAUUCAAUAUGAAACUCUGGAAAGAAUACAGCAAUAAGCUUGUGGAUUUCUGAGCCAUUGCUGGUUUCUCGAAAGCAGUGUUUUUCAGAGGGUUAGCCUGGCAGCCUUGCAAGGAUGGAGUUGGUGAGGAGAGAGACCUGAGGCCCAGAGACCAGUCAGGAGACUGACUUUGUGCUGUAGGUGGCAGAGGAAGAGCAGGUAAGUGGGUGAGGCAAGGGAGGAAGAAACAGUCCUUCAUCGCUCACCUGGGGAGCACUCAGCUGACUACAGGGAAGGUAACGGAGACCAUGCUGGCUGCUGGUGGGGUGGGGCUGUGGAGAGCUGGGGCCAGUGCCUCCAUCAAAAGCUCCCCCUGAGGAGUGUGUGUCCCAGUGAACCUAGAUCUUCUCAGUUUUUAAGAGAAGCUGGAAGUUUAUAAUUGCAAGUUUUGUUUUUAUUUAACAGCUCCCAAUUUUUAAAAUGUGGUGACUAAUUCAAAAGGUUGCCUACCCACUGACAGGACAAAGAGAACCUAUCUGCAGCCCAAGGUAGGCCUGCAGGCCACCAGCUUAUGAUCUCCAAGCUUAGAUUCCCUUUAGUCCCACUUCCCAAACCAGGAUGCAAACCUGGAGCAAGGACCAUGGCUUAAUGUUUUUGGAUAUCUUCUAAAAGGUUAGUACUGUGCAGUACUGGAAACUGGCUGACACUCCAUGGUGCUGGUGGAUGCUGCAGUGGGAGCAGGUUCCCUCCAUGGUAAGGUGUAUUUUAUCUUUGCCAUCCUUAGGAAUGGUGACAACAGAAGGCAGACUGACUUUUAGUGGUCUCGUUAUUGUUUUUAAAUUCUUCCAUAGAAUGCACCUACUUAUUACCUGCAUCUGCACUCCUCCGACAUCCCCUCACUACCACCAUGGCAUGCAUGCCAGUGCUCAGUAAUGCUUGAUUGUCCUGCCAGGACAAAUCCCAGAUAACCUUUCUUCUUUGCCGAUCUUAUCAAUAUAAGUGUCAGGCUUACUUAGACUAGCUCAUCUCAUCACCCUCUAGAAGCUUCCCUGACUACCUUACUCAUAGGGAUCUUUCUUACCCCUGAAUUCUUUAGCACAAAAGAGACACCAUCUUACCUCUUACCUUGUGCUAUUCCAUAGUUAAGUCACCUCUGCCGAGUCUUCUCAACAAGAGCAAAAGCCUGGUGAGAAUAGCAACUGCACUUCUAAAUUUUUUACUUUUAUUUCUCAUAGCAUUCGGCACAAUGCUGAGCAUACAACUUAAUGAUACUACAUGUCAAAUGACAAGCUGAAACUUAAACCCAGAUGAAAGAAAUUCAUAUGACACACUUAUCUUUACAGUAUUUUUUUUUUUUUAAUAAAAAUGAGAUGGGGUCUUGCUUUGUUGCCCAGGCUGGUCUCAAACUCUUGAGCUCAAGCAAUCCUCCCACCUUGGCCUCCCAAAGUUCUGCGAUUACAGACAUGAGCCACCACACCUGGCUGACAGUAUUUUUAUAAUGGUUGUUGUUACACCAGUCCAGGGUUUCCCCCUUGGUACUGGGUGAUCAAUCAGCUGGCCACAAGCACUAUGCACAGAGCUUAUGAUCUACUCUAACUCAGAACUUUCUCGGACUAAAAGAUGAGCUGGUUUAUGCU
rnacentral:lncRNA from 1 species